rnacentral:rRNA from 4 species
AAAUUGAAGAGUUUGAUCAUGGCUCAGAUUGAACGCUGGCGGCAGGCCUAACACAUGCAAGUCGAACGGUAACAGGAAGCAGCUUGCUGCUUUGCUGACGAGUGGCGGACGGGUGAGUAAUGUCUGGGAAACUGCCUGAUGGAGGGGGAUAACUACUGGAAACGGUGGCUAAUACCGCAUAACGUCGCAAGACCAAAGAGGGGGACCUUCGGGCCUCUUGCCAUCAGAUGUGCCCAGAUGGGAUUAGCUUGUUGGUGAGGUAACGGCUCACCAAGGCGACGAUCCCUAGCUGGUCUGAGAGGAUGACCAGCCACACUGGAACUGAGACACGGUCCAGACUCCUACGGGAGGCAGCAGUGGGGAAUAUUGCACAAUGGGCGCAAGCCUGAUGCAGCCAUGCCGCGUGUAUGAAGAAGGCCUUCGGGUUGUAAAGUACUUUCAGCGGGGAGGAAGGUGUUGCGGUUAAUAACC